AGCGGAAUUGCUGGGUCACAUGGUAAUUCUAAUAUUUUAAGGAACUGCCAAAUUGUUUUCGAAAGUGACAGCACCUAUUUGCAUUCCCACCAGCAAU
rnacentral:pre_miRNA from 1 species